GCUUCGUUAGCUCAGUGGUAGAGCGUCCUCUUUGUAAGUGGAAAGUCGUCGGUUCAAAUCCGAUACUAAGCU
rnacentral:tRNA from 1 species